UACGUAGGGUGCGAGCGUUGUCCGGAAUUAUUGGGCGUAAAGGGUUCGUAGGCGGUUUGUCGCGUCGGGGGUGAAAUCCACUGGCUUAACUGGUGGCUUGCUUUCGAUACGGGCAGACUGGAGGUAUGCAGGGGAGAACGGAAUUCCUGGUGUAGCAGUGAAAUGCGCAGAUAUCAGGAGGAACACCGGUGGCGAAGGCGGUUCUCUGGGCAUGUCCUGACGCUGAGGAGCGAAAGUGUGGGGAGCGAACAGG
rnacentral:rRNA from 1 species